CCUAGGGGGGCUGCAGUGGGGAAUAUUGGACAAUGGGCGAAAGCCUGAUCCAGCCAUGCCGCGUGUGUGAAGAAGGCCUUCGGGUUGUAAAGCACUUUCAGUGGGGAAGAAAGCCUUGGGGCUAAUACCCUCGAGGAAGGACAUCACCCACAGAAGAAGCACCGGCUAACUCCGUGCCAGCAGCCGCGGUAAUACGGAGGGUGCGAGCGUUAAUCGGAAUUACUGGGCGUAAAGCGCGCGUAGGCGGUCUGAUAAGCCGGUUGUGAAAGCCCCGGGCUCAACCUGGGAACGGCAUCCGGAACUGUCAGGCUAGAGUGCAGGAGAGGAAGGUAGAAUUCCCGGUGUAGCGGUGAAAUGCGUAGAGAUCGGGAGGAAUACCAGUGGCGAAGGCGGCCUUCUGGACUGACACUGACGCUGAGGUGCGAAAGCGUGGGUAGCAAACAGGAUUAGAUCCCCGUGUAGUC
rnacentral:rRNA from 1 species